UACGUAGGGUGCAAGCGUUGUCCGGAAUUAUUGGGCGUAAAGAGCUCGUAGGCGGUCUGUCGCGUCGGCUGUGAAAUCCCGGAGCUCAACUCCGGGUCUGCAGUCGAUACGGGCAAACUGGAGUACUGCAGGGGAGACUGGAAUUCCUGGUGUAGCGGUGGAAUGCGUAGAUAUCAGGAGGAACACCGGUGGUGUAAACGGCUUUCUGGACCAUAACUGACACUGAGGCACGAAAGCGUGGGUAGCAAACAGG
rnacentral:rRNA from 1 species